rnacentral:rRNA from 1 species
GUACAUGCCUAUAACAUAUUGUUAAUGCACUAGAUCCCAUUAGAACUUUGCAAUUAAGCGUUCUUGAUCUAGAGUAGUACUAGGAUGGGUUACCACCCAGGAAGUCCUAGUGUUUUACAUG